rnacentral:lncRNA from 1 species
GGAACAGCUCAAGGGGUUGCCAUGCUCGUCAUACUCAUAGCUCUUCUUUGCUGUGGGCUGUGCAAUGGGGCAUUGACAGAGGAGAUUGGUGAGUUUUUUCCUGCUCCAGACUGGGACAUUCCUCUCUGGAGAUCCGAAAUAACUACAGAGUGUCAGUGUCAGUGCCCAGGGAGUGACUGGUUGGGAGGGAAGGACAGCCAGGAAGGGGCACUUGUUAAAGCUACUGGCAACGUUCAGUCUCCAACUUUGUCUUUCUGCCUGUAAAAAUUUCCUUCAGGCUCCUGCACUUUUGUGAGGCUCAGCUGAGAC